AUGGCGGCUGCACGGGCGCACGUGGAGAGGCUCCGGCGGGAGCGGUACUACAUCGGGCGCAGCGAGCAGAACCCGCUGGCGGAGGACAUGCACCAGGCGGUGAACUACUUGAGCCAGGAGCUCUACUCCAAGGACGUCCACUUCCUCAUGGAGCUCGUCCAGAACGCUGAAGACAAUGAGUACCCUGAUGUAGUAGCACCUUCAUUGGAGUUUCUAGUAACAUCAACUGACAUCACUGGAUCUGGUGCAUCGUCAACUUUACUCAUUUUCAACAAUGAGAAGGGCUUCUCUCCAUCGAAUAUUCAGUCUAUUUGUGGCGUGGGCAAAUCAACGAAAAAAGGAAACAGGGACAUGGGUUACAUUGGAGAGAAAGGUAUUGGAUUCAAAAGUGUGUUCCUUAUAUCAAGCCAACCCCAUAUAUUCAGUAAUGGGUAUCAAAUCAAGUUUAAUGAGAAGCCGUGUCCAGAAUGCAAUAUUGGAUACAUUGUCCCAGAGUGGGUUGAAUCCAGGCCUAGCCUUUCAGAUAUCAAACAGAUAUAUGGGUCUACCAGAGUCCUUCCAACAACCUGUAUCGUCCUGCCUUUGAAGGAUGAGAAGGUCACUGCGGUGAAGCAGCAGCUGUCAAGCCUGCAUCCAGAAAUGCUACUGUUUCUGUCAAAGAUCAGGCGGCUUUCUGUCCGUGAAGAUAACGACAACGCUAAAGGCAGCACUGUUAGUGAGAUUGCAAUAUCGAGUGAGAAGAACUUUGAUGUGAGGAAGAACAUGCACGCGGAGUCUUACACGGUCUUUUUAUCUGCUCAGGAGAAUGAGAGUGAAGCAGAGUGCGGGUACCAUAUGUGGAGGCAGAGGUUCCCUGUCAAGGCAGAGAACAGGGUGGACAAGCGUACUGAAAUCGAUGAGUGGGUCAUCACCCUAGCCUUCCCUCUUAAGGAGCGACUAUCCCGUGGGAAGCAGCUAUCCCCUGGCGUAUAUGCUUUCCUUCCCACGGAGAUGGUAACGAACUUCCCCUUCAUCAUUCAGGCUGACUUCCUCCUUGCAUCAUCAAGAGAGGCAAUACUGUUCGAUAGUCCAUGGAACAAGGAAAUUCUGGAGUGCAUCCCAAGUGCUUUCAUGAAUGCUUUUGUAGUACUUGUCAAGUCCAGAGCAGAUGCGCCAGCAAUGUCGAUUCCGUCGAUGUUCCAUUACCUGCCAGUCAGUCCUUCGCUGAUCCCUUUACUUGAGCCUGUUAGGUCUGGCAUCAAAGAGAAGGUUCUCGUCGAGGAUAUAGUUCCAUGUGAGUCUCACACUCCACAGAAGAUGUUUUGCAAGCCUUGCGAGGUUGCGCGGCUCAAACCAACAUUUUGGGAUAUCCUUGUCAAGGCGAGAGAAUCUGGAGUGGACCUUAAGAACCCGUCAACCCAUGGAACCUACAUUCUGAGUUCCCAUUUUGACAAGAGUGCAUACAAUAGUGUUCUUACAUUUCUGGAUGUCAAAAGUGUGAGCCAUGAAUGGUAUGCAAAAUGCAUCAAGGGGUCUAACCUUGUCAGCAAUGUAGAUGAACAGCUUUAUCUUGAACUUCUAUCUUUUGUCGCAGACAGUUGGCAAAAAAUUUCCAGUACAAAGAUGAUGCAAAUUCCUCUGCUGAAGUAUGUUGACAGGAAAAAAAUGUAUCUGUCUGGAGCAUAUCUAGAGCUAGUCAGUGGAGUGAUAGACUGUGCAUUGCAUCUGAUGGGAAGUGGAUGUCAUGGCUUAUCAGCUGGAACCAGGAGUUUCCAUCUUCUAGCCGCCUUUUUGUGUCUCCCCGUACACAAACAGCUCUGCAAGGUUUCGCGUAGAAGGAAAAAGUGA
rnacentral:rRNA from 1 species